CACAAAGGAACUGUGGCAGCAUCUUCCAGCUAAGAGAGAUUGUUCCAAAAAAAGAAUCUAUAGUUAUAAGUGAAUAUCCUUCAACUUUUGAGAGCUGUAAUAAUGAUAAAGUUGAAGAUGAGAUGGAAAAGGUAAGAUCUAUAGUAAAAGGGCUGCAGUCAAAGAGGGCAUUGCUGCCUCC